rnacentral:rRNA from 1 species
UACGGGGGGGGCAAGCGUUGUUCGGAAUCACUGGGCGUAAAGGGUGCGUAGGCGGCAUUUUAAGUCAGUGGUGAAAUACUUCAGCUUAACUGGAGAGGUGCCAUUGAUACUGGGAUGCUUGAGUACUGAUGAGGUAGGCGGAAUGGACGGUGUAGCGGUGAAAUGCUUAGAUAUCGUCCAGAACACCGAUAGCGAAGGCAGCUUACUAAGGAGUAACUGACGCUGAGGCACGAAAGUGUGGGGAUCAAACAGG